UAUGCUGCAGCAUCCGGGCGCAGACACUUUGGGAAGCUAGAUGGUCUUUUUUACCUCCAAAACAUGGCAGAAAAGUGAAAGAGAAAACACUAUUUUCACGAUGACUGGGAGGAAGAGUUCUUUUUCACGACAGUGAAAGAUAAAUGUAUGUGUCCUAUUUGCGGGGCGACUAUUGCGUCGGCAAAGCGGCACAAUGUGGAGAGAUGCUACUUAGCCGCUACAUAGCUUCCAUGCUAACUAGCCACCUGCUAGCGCACAUAGACUGUAUGCGCACUGCGGACAGGAAAAGCCCGGGACUUAAAGGCAGCUUUGACAUCUAUUACGUGGCAAAAAGUUUCUUCGUGGAGAAAAAUGUACCAUUAGAAAAGCUUGUUUCACUGACGACGGAUGGGGCUCCUCCAUGACGGGUCGCCAUGCAGGCUUCAUUGUACGAUGCAGAGGUGAUCCAGACUUCCCAACAUUCCUACAUUACCACUGCAUCAUUCACCAGCAGGACAUAUGUAUGUACAAAAGUGGCCGGAUUUGAUCAUGUGAUUACUCGUGUCGUGAAGAUCAUAAAUGGCUCCAAAGCCAAACAACCAGGACAUUGAAGGUGCUGCUGGAGGAGCUGUCAGCUGAACAUGGAGACCUGUUACUACACACAGAAACCCCAUGGAUCAGCAGGGGAACAGUUUUACAGCGUUUUUUGUCACUGUUGGCCGAAAUCAAACAGUUGAUGCAAUCCAAAGGGGAAGACAGCUCGCUGCUUGAGGACACUGAGUGUAUUCUUGCCCUUGCAUUUUUAACGGAAAUCACUGGGAAACUGAACCAUCUGAACUGUGAGCUACAAGGUAAAGGUUUUACUAAAGAAGAGCCAGGACACCUACUUGGGCUUCGGCUUUGACUCGUCUGGAACAAGGGCAAAAAUAACACUUUAAAAUCACUUCUCAAUUUAAAAGUGAAGGAAGCCUUUAUUCAAGAGGUGAGUAGUAAGCUGCAAAGCAUUUAGGGGUAUUUUUCUCACCUGUUACCUCCUCUUGUGCUGAUGACCAGGAACAUGCAUGAUUAGUACAAUGUUUGGAAAUUAAAUUAGGCAUAUAAAAAUCUGGGACAAUGCAGUUUUCUUACCUUCUCCCUCCCUUCAGAAGAGCAAAAAAGAAAAACAUUGAAAGAAUAUGUUUGAAUUAAUAUACAAUUUUGAUUUAAAAAUAAUAGUUAUUUUAGCAAAUGAAUAAAAAUGAUCACGUACUGAACUUCCUCCUCGACGACUUCUUCUGUGUCAGACAUUUUGUUCGAGAUGAGCUGUGUAAAAUGGAUCCCCAUUAGCCUAUAUUUACUCUGGCAAAUGUUGCUGAUCAUCAAACAGCAUAGCAGAGCGUGACAUGGCAACAGUUCACACAGUUGACAAUGAGUGUCAGCACUUCACCAAAUAUCUGAUGCCGGUCACUGACGUGGCAACAGCUACCAAAUAAUGACUGGAAAAUACCUGAUACCUACAGGCAGUGGUCCAAAAUGUGUUUGUAUGCUUUCAGAAUCAAAAAUAAAGUUUGUCAUUUUGAUGGAAGUUCUCCUGUUAGUGUGUGAAAGAUUUGAUGCAGACUGUGAAAAAGUAUAAUUCUUUUAAAAAAUAAACUAAUAUCUAGCAUGUAAUCUCUAACCUGCACAGCAAGACUCUUAGUUCUUGUUGCUGUGAGGUAAUCUAUGCACAAUAAAAAGCAUGUUUUCUGUUGAGAUUUAGUUAAGACUGCAAAAUAACACAUAUUUAUGCACUUCAAAAAGCCUCAAACUUGCAGUGAAGUACAGGACUUGAGAAUAGAUUUAAUUGUUAUCCAUGUCUGGUUGUUACUUAAUUAUAUUUUUAAUGGUAUUUUAUAGAUUUUGUAGUGUAUUUAUAAUAUAUUAUAAUGCUAUAAUGAAAUAUUAUCAGUACAUAUAUCUACUUUAGGAAGCUGUAAGAACCUGUUUGUCCCUUAAUACUAGCACCACUAGUAAAAAGAAAUGAAUCUCAAAUCUUGAUUGAGUUGUUGUGGAAGCGAUUCAGUCACAUCUGAUUAAACAGCAUAAAAAUUGAAGCAGUAUUUAGGGAAACACUUCCCUUAGAUGUUGAAAGUGACUUUAAAAAAUAAUCUCUGUCAGUGAGCUCCAAAUCUAGAUGCUAAUAAAUGAAUUGAAAACUCAGGAAAUAUUUUUCAGACAGUAAUUCAGUUUUAAGAUUUACAGCUAAGCAAGACUUUAAUACAUUUUUUUAAAAUUUACCCACAUAAGAGUGUCCUUACCUGCAACCAAGACAGAGGGAGCUCAGAGACGAGCGACAGACUUCAGCCCCUUGAACUUCACCAACAGGUUGAGCAUCAAGGAUACAUAGACCAGCCCUUCUUACUCAUGUGACCGCAGCACCCUAUGGCUGACCAGUCUAUUGUUAGACAGCUGGACAUGAGAGCGCUGUCUCAGAAACACACACACAUUCUGCAGGUACAUUCCUGUCAUGGUAGAAUGUCAUAUAUUUGUUUGGGCUUUCACCAGUCACUCAGGUUUCAACACGCCAUAUAUUCACAGGUGCUUAGGAAGGACAGCAUUUCCUCACAGUGAGCAAAAAUAAAGCCAAAAGAACUCGAAUGAACUGUUUUUCUGUUUUUUAAUUUUUUUUUAUUGCUGAAGCCGUACAAACAAUAAUUUCAAACAGAUCAAACCACUACAACAAUAAUGAAAGACUCACAAUACAUUCUAGCAGGAAUCCACUCAAGUGCACUGCUGACAGACACACUGAAUUACAGGCUUUGAUAAAACAGACUGAAAAAUGCAAUUGAAAACCUUCACUGUUACUGCAAUGCAAAUAGAACUGAAAAAAUGAGUGGCUUGUAAAUGAGAGAUAGAUAAGGAAGAUGUCAGACUAACCCUAACCCUGCUUGUUGAAUAGAUUUGGUCACUGGAUAUUUGUUGCAGUAGAUAAUUGCAUGAACAAGUAUUAAUGGACUUUGAUGGUGUUUAUAUUACAAAAAAAAUGUGAUUUUUUUUUUUACUGAUACAAGGCCAGAAGGUAACAAACUCAGGUGUUUUUCACAGAAAUGUUGCACACUGUUGUUCUUUGGCUGCAGUCCUGAGCAGAAUGUGCCACUGAUAGUAUCUUCUGGUCUGAGGUUGACUCUUUAGUACCACCUUGUAAUACUACCCUCUUCAUAAAGGCUUUAUAAACUUAGCAACUAAUGGGACUCAUCUCUCAAUAAGACAUCAUGUCUGAAGCUAUAAAUGCUAAAACCCCAUUAAAGACUCAAUUAUCCACUCAGAUGUUAAAGUUAGUUAGAUGUUGAUAAAUGGACUUUGGCCAAAGCUUAUAAGGGGAUAAGUGUAUGUGUUUUGAGCUAAAUGCUAAUGUCAUGCAACACAGGACCACAGAUAUGGUGAUGUUUAGCAGAUAUGACAUUAACAUGUUUUCCAUUUUGGUUUAGCCUGUUGGUAUGCUGACAUUUCCUUUGCAAUAAGCUAAAGCAUCACAGGAAAAUCAUUAGCUAUGCAGGUUUUUGCAGUUCAACCAAAGUCUUAGACACAUUUAGAUAUUGACCUGGUGAUGACACUACAUGGAAGUCAUAGAAUAACUUAAAUUAUUUCUAAGUGUCUUGUGGUGAACGUAGAUACUUGUACAAACUUUCAUUGCAAUCCAUCCAGAAGAUGUUGACGUUUCCUUCUUGAAGUGAAAAACCAAUUGGUCUAUUCUGCUGUCCUCUGGCAACUUUAGUAUUGUGCUUAUUAUUUCAUCUAUCAUGCUAUAGUCGGUGAAUAAUUAAGCCUGAAGUCAUUGAGCACAAUGAUUCCUUAUUAAAAAGUGGUACCAAAAGUAUGAACACAGGCCAGAGGAGUUCCUUUACUCCAAAAGCUGUUCUCAUUGAUGGCUUCUAACUGAUCUAUAAAGCGAUAAUACAGGAUACAUUAACCACUGGAAUAGUUAUUUUUUAUUAUUUAUAAACCCUUUAUGAAGAGCUUCUUAGCAGAAAGUGGUACCACCUCAUGAAACAAAAUUAUGUACAUGCUUAUCACCCAGCGUAUUGCUGAGUGGUCGGAUACUUUCUACGGUCUCAAAACUGUGACUGUCAUCACAAAAAGCAGUGAGUAUAAGUAACCACAAAGCAAAAAUGCGUAUUACUUCGUAAAAGCUAUAUGGCAUUACCAUCAAAUACAUUAUAAGAACAACGAACAUGUUGGUGUGGGUUGAAAGCAAAGUAUCCAAAAAGACUCCGACUGGGUGUUCUUUGAAAAUCUUUGAGCCAAAAAUCAAGUGAAAGAUGCUAAAAGCACAUCAAUAUCUUUUCAUUUUUGAGGGACCAUCUCAAAGGUUGGCUAAUCUUAAGUCGGCAGUGGUGUAAAGUUACUCAUACUGUGAAGAUAAAGACCCUCCUCUUUUCCUUAUUCAGGUGUGAUCCUCAAGCGAAAUGCAGGUGUGGUGAAGUUGAACAGAUGCACAAACAGUAGCAGAGCCCUGUGUUUGCUCAGGUAGGACUUGAUUUAACAGGGAUGUCAACAGUUAGCGUCGGAUGCCUGCUAAUAGAGAAGAAACACAUUGAAGAUCUAUUAGCCAGUGUUGCAAUGUUAACAUCACUGUUCAAAGUGCAUAACUUAACAUAGUUUAUUAGGUGUUGAACAAGAUUAGUCCCAGGGCUGUUAAUCAAAGGUUUAAUGGCCGUACUUGUCAAUGUAUAUUCUGUCUAAUGUAUAUGCAUGUGUGUUUAUGGGUCUGUAGAUAUGAGCCACUGCUACUGUUGCUGACACAUAACCUGCAGUCAAAGUCAGGACAUUUCUCUUUGUGAUUGAAAGCUAUAACUUUGUCUUUGCCCUUUACUUCAUUCCUCAGCUGUCUAUUUCUGAUGAAGAAACUGAGAGGCGGCAAACAAGGAUCGCUAUUUAGGGUUGAAGCUGACACUCGACAAACGCUUUUCCAUUCCUAUUGUUCACACUCUGGCUCAAGCAGCGACGGCCUCAUGUCUGACGAAAUGUGACUUUUGAGCGCAAAGAAGGAGGGCAGCUUUACUGUGCCAACAUCACUCAAUGACAUGGCUUUUUUUUAUGAUUUAUGCUGUAAUUUCACACAUUUAAAGUGGCCCCCUGUUACUGUUGAGGUACAUGUUAGGUCUUUAUCCUCAGGCCUGAGUGAAUAAGCCUGGUGAUCGAGGCCGAUUUGUUGCUUAAAUGGUUAGUAAUCCUCCCCAGCACUCGGUUGUAAUGUGAAAAUCAAGCAGCUGCACUGUGGUAUGUCUAACAGCUCGCAGACACUGGCCAGUCCAGGUGGCACUGGGUGAACAGUGCACGGCACAAACACGACAGCCAUCCCAGGAGUCUGGAACUUACUUUAUACUGGGAGACAAGGUCAUGGUGAGGGGUUUUUAAAUAUAGACCUCAGUGCCACAGAGCUGAGCCCGUGCCCAAAAAUCUCCAGCAGCAGAUUUGAUUUACAGUGAGAAGCUACUCUGGCACAAAGGAAGGUUGGUGGGUUGUUGUAGUUAUGAGCCUCCAGUGUGCCAUAAAUCAGUCAAGUCCUCCCCCUCCUUGCCCAGAGAAUGGUUUGAAGGGCAGAUGCACUUCAUCUAAACUCUGCUUCCCCUAGGACUGAUCGACAUAAACCCCGGUUUAACAUGUAGUAUGCACACAUUUAGUGUUGGCGGAAGCGUUCAGACCCUUCACUUGAGUAAAAGUAGAUCUAACCACAAUAUAAUCGUCAGCAAAGUGUACUGGAUAUUUUGGGAAAUGUGCUUUGUCAUUUGCCCUUUGAAUCAUUCCUCAGCUGUCUGUUUCAGAUGUAAAUAAGACGUUAAAUGUGAAGCUACAAUCAGCAGCUGGUUGGGUUACAAGGGAGUCUGGUUGUCACCGUGAACUGGAUACUUCAGGAAGUCAGUGCACCUGGCCAAAAAAUAGUCCAACAUAUCACACUGGUGAGAACACAUGUUGUUGUUAUUGUACUUUGGUUUUCACACUGAUUAAACUAACAUGUAUUGUGUUAGUUAAAGAGCUUUGGAGGUGCUGGUAGGUGUAGUUUGUUACACCUACUAGGCAAGUUCUUUCCCUCUGGUCUUUACGUUAAGCUACGCUAAUUAGCAGCUGGCUGUAGCACCACAUUAACCAGCCUACAUGAGAGCUUGUUUAUUGAAAGACUUGUCCUCUAACCCAUGGCAAGAAAUGAUUAUUCUUUUGAAGAAUCAAUAGAAAAUGAUAAUUAUGCACCAGAAAGGCUGCUUUCAGCAUCAUGCUAUUCUAUAUUAUGCUAUUGUACCACUAUUUCUGAUGCAUUGAUAUGUACGACGCCACAUUUUGAUGUUGUAGCUGAUCAAGGUUUGCACUUCUGCCACUAAGUCCAUCAUCAUUUUGUAUAUAAUAAUACAAAAAAUAUAAUAGCUCAGAAUAGUAUUUAAGUACAGUAUUUCAGUAAUUGUACUUAUAGUCACAUCCAGCCACUGUGUACAGUCACCUCAGAAACUUACCAUUAGUGACAAACUUGCUUCCAAUUGCCACCUGUAAACAAGAAGAAAUGAAUGAGAGAAUGAUUGAAAGAUGAUGGAAAAACUAAUGAAAACAGCUGAUGAUGCUGAAGCAAAACCUGCUCUUAUUUUAGAAAUAAUUCCUAGUCUGGAUGUGUGUUCUGGUGGAUGAAUAUCUUCUGCUUCAUGUAAAUUAAUGUUGAUCCUAAUAAAGAAACUCAUAUAAAAAUUAUUGUCUCAACUCUGAAUAGGUUGUCAGUGAAGGAGAGUGGGAGUGAAAAUGAUGGAGUGUUUUAUUGGUUAAUAAUCUAAGUCUAAAUAUCAGGAACAUGUUUUUCUGCACCUGAAAGAUGGAUGUUUAGUAUUAUGUGGUGUUCCCACAGAUAUCAGAUAUGUUGUCUACUUACUGUUAAUGACUCUCUUAAAUAAUUGAGUGAAAUCAUACAUCAAAGAGUCCCUUCAAAGCAGUCUGAGCUAAAAAAAAAUACAUCAAACACAACACUGAAGCAUAAGCACAUGCACUCAACCAUGAUAUCUUCACUGUGCAACUACUGUCUUAGUAAGUAACUAAAAGCUGUACACCUUAAACGUCCUGUAAUAACAUGUAGCUCACAUCUCUGUAUAAUAAAAAAUAAUCCAUGUUUGAAAUGAACAACCACAUCAGAAAAGUGAUGGUUCAGAGCCAAGUUAUAGUAUUUAUGUCCUCAAAGUCAGUUCAGGAACUAAAGAUAGCAUAUAGUCAUUUUUAUUGGGUAUGUGUGGGAGGGUGGAAGAAUGACACAAUAGAAAGCCACAGUUAUUGCAACCAUCUCCUUCAUCACAUCAAAAUCAGUAUUUCCUUUUCAGUUCAUGCAGCUCAGUCAGAGGUUUGAGAUUGAAAAUAUAUCCUGCUUCUAACAUGACACAUACUGAUAAGUUAGGGACUGUAUGAAAAUUAUUUGGGUGAGGUGAGGUUCUGUUCCUUAUUCCCUUUAUAAAAAAUCAAUUUGUGUGCACCAAAACAUGAUAUGACAGCUGAAAACGCCAGGUUCUGAAAAUGCCCAGCUAGGGACAUUCCGAAGGUGAAGGACUUUUUAGCUGAGGUGCUUUGGUUGCUUUCUUUUCCAUUCAUCCUAUAUCUAUACACCGCUUUAUCCUCUCUCAAACCACUGCUCUAUGUGGGCUCUUGACAUUUUGUCUGGGAGGAAACAUCUUGCUAAGAAUCAUUGUUUGGGUUCAAGAGUUAAAGUCGGGCUGUUGGUCAGCAUUUGCAUUUGUAUUUCUUCCACUCAUAGUCCUUUGUGAUCAGACAGGGCUGGUGCUGCUUUUAGCACAGUGUAAAUAUGUGAUGUUCCCAUUGAAACCAAGCAGCAACCGACAGUUAAAACCAAUGUGUAACUGUCAAAAACUGCAGUUCCUCAAAUGGCCACUUGAGGCUGGCUUCAAAAGGGCAUCGAACCUCAUGUUAAAAUGUCUAACUUUACUGCAGAAAUAAACAUGUUUAAAGCAGGACUGGAUAUUUAUAUAACUCAUAUAACUAACUCAAGGCUUAAAGUCCUGCAUAGUUAAGGGCGUGGCUGCUGUAAGUGAUGGAUGAGUGUCAUCAUAGGACAGUCCAUGGCUCAAAGGCUUCUCUCAGCUGCAUUAAUCCUCCGCCUCGUUGCUCAUUGAGUUCAGAGGAGUCACACACUGCCAAGACGGGGAAGGCAGGAGUCACCACGCCGAGCUUCGAAAGUGCUAUCAAGGAAACCUGUUGGUGAUGUCACAGGUGGGAGGGGGUUUACAUCCUUAUAUACAGUCUAUGAUUCAUCCAAGAAAAAACACCCAAGGAAAAGCACAUAUCUCUCCCCCUAUACUAAGCCCCACACCACCCAUCCAUUCAUUAUCUAUACACCACUCAGCAGGAUAGCGGGGGGGCUGUGAUCUUCUAGCUGUGAGGCGACGGUGCUAACCACCAAACCACCGUGCAGCCGCCACACCACCCAAUACUUUUCAUAUAGUCCCUUACUAGAAAAUCAUGUAAAUAAUCAAAGAACAGAAUGAUGAUUUAGUGUGUAAACUGACUGAACUGAGAGAGGAACAACUCCAGUGAAACGCACACUGAGAGAGCAUAAAAUCAGUGCUUAAACAUCACAAAUCAACCACAUCAUGCCUGGUGAAACGUGCAUUCGGUGUUGUUCUCACAGAUCCACAAAUUACCUCCAUGAAUUCAUCCAUCUAUUUGAACUGAAUCAAACAAAAAAAGCGGGAUGGCGUCACAAGAAAUCUUUCAAAACAUACCAUUGCCCCAUGGCAUGUGAGGUGUGUGUGUUACCUUGCCAGGCGUAGAGGCCUUCUUGGUUUCCCACAUGCCACGCUUGCUACCGAUGUCACUUGGUUUCACAUCCUGAAACAAAUGAGACCCACAGCCCUGUUAGUCUCAGCCAGUGGUGGAAGAAGUAUUCAUAUUGUUUUAUUUAGGUAAAAGCACAGGCAUGCUGGUGUAAAAAUAAACAAUAAGUAAAAGGUUUAUUGUCAAAAUUGUAUUCAGCAGAAAUAAUAUUGAAGUAUUAUCAGGAAAUAUGAAAUAUCAAAACUUCUGUUCUGUCCUGCUAACACCUAAAAUGUGGCAAGGAACACCAAGUACACAUUUCUUUUAGAAAUGUGUUUGAGAACCACCAAAUUGUUAUAUUUCUAAUCACCUGUUUCUUGUUACGUUGAAGUAAAAAAGGUCAAUAUGUCAAUGAACUGUAGAAGAGUUGGAGUGUGAAGUAGCAUCAAAUGGAUAUAUGAGAAUAAAGCAUUGUUCUUGAGUACAUGUACCGAAUUAUUUUCCAUCACAGUUGUGGCAGUUAUAGUGAAAUACAUGCAAAGUGGUACCUUUACUAGUUUGAAGAGGAGACAAAGAACAGCAGGAAAAGUUUGCAUGUGGAUAGCUAAGAGAAAGAGUGUAAUUAAAGAGGACAGAAAGGCAGGAAAAAAAUGAAACAACAGAGUAAACAUAUGAAAGAAAAUACAGUGAUACUAAGGAUCACACAUGCACUCUAGACUGCUGUACAGCUUCAUCCCAUCAGGGGGAAGUGUUACUGCAAAAGUAACGGCAAGGUUGCAACUGCUACUUUGGCCAAGACGUUUGACACUAAAGAUAUCUCAUAGCUCAUAAAUUUUGCUUCAGAACAAUGUCACACGUCAUUCAGAAAUGCUACUGCAUGUGGAAAUAGUGUAAUGUCUCCAGACGACGCGGUAGGAUUAGCAGCUGGUGUCCUAAUUCAAGAAAAGGACACUCUGUCCGUCAAGUACACUUUAGAAAUGACCUAAUGUAUUUAUUAAUGUGAUAACGUGUGUCCAUGGAAUAAUAUAUAAUAUGAACCACUCAGUACACACUUGCUCAUUGGUUGUUGUGUCAGCGCUGCGAUGGUGGAUAAUAAUGGCCCUGUACGUGACAUAUGUGAAUGGAUGUGACCUUUUACCCUCCCUGAAGGAGACCAAAAACAUGGUCGACAGGUGAUGAGUCACAAAGACUAAAAUAUGAAGUCUAAAGUGAGUCAAACACUAAAGCUGAGAGUACUGCAGCAUUCAUGGGCUGUAAUAUAACAGUAAAAUACCUACAGAGGCCGAAGUGAUUGAUGUUUAGAGGGGCGUAGAAACGGCUCUGCAAGAAGGCAUGCUGGCAUGCAGCCACCUGACACAUAAAUGCAGCUCAGUGCUUUGUGGUUGGACUGUUGCCUUCGACAGUGAGAACUGAUAGCGUCCUCCUGUACAUUGAUUUUUCCACAGGUUUGGGAUCAAUUCAUAUAUUUUAAAACUUUGACUCAAUGUAAAGACUAAUACAGAGAAGGUUUGCGAGCUGUUUCUGCAGAUGCUGUAAAGCAAAGUGUCCACGUGGUGUCACUAGACUCCAGAAAGCAGCUGGUCCGGUCUUGGAGAUCAGAUCUAAAGUCUGCAGCCAACAAAAGACUGGCACGUCGAUGUGCAAAUGAGCACAUUAGCGUGCACAGAAUGUCAAGGGAUUACUCUGCUGAAGAACACUGGUGUCUAAUUUACAAUAGUGUGUGGGCGUGUGAUCAAGACAAGGAUUUAUCAGGCCUUACUGCUGGCUUUGCUGCUGCUGCUGGUGAUGCUGCUGCUGCUGCUGCUGCAGGUGUUGGUGCUGAUGUCUUCUCCACCUCUGCAGGCUUCGCCAUCCAACUGUUGACUCGUCCAGACACACCUCCUUUGAUUCCAGCCAAAUCCUGGAAGAAAAACACUUCAGAUUUUCAGUGUGACAACAGCAAACCUGUCCAUCCUUCCAUCUCUCUCUCCUCAUUCUGCCUCACCUUGUUUGGAGGAGCUGGACUUUCAGAGGGACUUCCGAUGUUUCCUUUCUCCCACAUGCUUUUGAUGCUACGUGUGCCUCCACUAGGAAUAUCUGCCAUCGGAGACUUUGGGGAUUUUACAUCUUUGUUUCCCUGUGGAAAGAAAAGAUGGAUGCAACCAUUUUUACAUGGGCAGACAGAGUAAAGCACUGAGUGAGGAUGAGUGGUGGAAAGUAACUUAGUAUAUUUACAUUUACUCAGGUACUGUACUUGAGUACAAUUAUGAGGUGCUUGAAUUUUAUUUAUUUAAAUUUUAUGCAGUUUUAUACUUUAUAUCCUCCUCUACAUUGCAAAGGCAAAUAUUGAAAACAAAAAUCUCUACUAAAUUUUAAGAUCUCGCAUUUAAAACUUUAAAACUUCUAAGUUUAUCAAAUAUAACACAUUAUUGGAGAUUUUCAUCAUUUACUGUCCAAAUAUGUUUUAAAAAUUAAAUGGUAUAUUUAUCAGAACUGCAGCUUUUCUUUUAUCCUGCUGCUCAGAUUUAUGUUAUGAUGCUGUGAAUGGAAACACUUAGCUAAACGACUAUAUAUGAAAUAAAGUUAACUUUGCCUUGACCAGAUACAACAACAAAGCUCUACUUAGUGUUUCGUUUAUUAGUCUAAUAUUGUCAUGUCUGACAAGUUAAACAUAUUAGUUACAUUUUGAAAAUGAGGACAUUUUGUUGUAAAUUUUGUUAUUUCUGUGAAAUUGGUAAUGUAUUCAAUCUGGACUUUUAUUUGACUGAAAAACAGUUUUUAUCUCAGAGCUGUCAUGUCAAUUAACUCUGGACAAACCACACUAUUAACACAAUCAUAUCCAGCGGUAACAGCUAUCUUGUCAGGGCUCCCUCCUCUGUCCCAGCUUCAGCCUCCACCUGACCUUCCUCAUCCUCCCUCUCCCUCUCCUUCCUCCUAUUCCUCUCUCCACCUUCCUGCUGCAGCUCAGCAGAGCUGCUCUGUCCAGCUGCUGUUCAUCACCAAUCACUCAUCAAUGGAACUCUGGGCAGCUGUGGUGCAGCUCACUUGAUGAUCAUCUCCACCAUAACAGCUGGCUGCACACUCCACACCCUGCCAGAUAGUAAACUCUGCUCACGCAGUCAGUUGUCUCGCCUUGCACUUUGCUAAAGUUCUCCAUUACAAAAAGCCUUGCUUGACUAGCCCUGUUUUUCCUGUUUAGCUCCACUGACCCAGCUGCCCGGUUCCACCUGCUCACACCCCCCAUCCUCCCCUUUUAGUUCAGUUACUCCAGACAUCAGUUUUCCACCCUGUCCAGCACUCCCUUAGCCUCUGUUUAAAAAAAUAAAAUCCACCUUUGUUCUUGCCUCA